rnacentral:tRNA from 1 species
GGGAGUUUAGCUCAGCUGGUUCAGAGCAUCUGCCUUACAAGCAGAGGGUCCCCGGUUCGAUCCCGGGAGCUCCCA